rnacentral:rRNA from 1 species
AACGAACGCUGGCGGCAUGCCUAACACAUGCAAGUCGAACGAGACCUUCGGGUCUAGUGUCGCACGGGUGCGUAACGCGUUGGAACCUGCCCUUGGGUUCGGAAUAACUCCCCGAAAGGGGUUCUAAUACCGGAUAAUGUCCUGGGACCAAAGAUUUAUCGCCUUUGGAUGGGCCCGCGUUGGAUUAGCUAGUUGGUAGGGUAAAAGCCUACCAAGGCGACGAUGCAUAGCUGGACUGAGAGGAUGAUCAGCCACACUGGGACUGAGACACGGCCCAGACUCCUACGGGAGGCAGCAGUGGGGAAUAUUGGACAAUGGGCGAAAGCCUGAUCCAGCAAUGCCGCGUGAGUGAUGAAGGCCUUAGGGUUGUAAAGCUCUUUUACCCGGGAUGAUAAUGACAGUACCGGGAGAAUAAGCUCCGGCUAACUCCGUG